UACGUAGGGUGCAAGCGUUGUCCGGAAUUAUUGGGCGUAAAGGGUGCGUAGGCGGUUUGGUAAGUCUGAUGUGAAAUCUAUGGGCUCAACUCAUAGUCUGCAUCGGAAACUGCCGGGCUUGAGUGUGGGAGAGGUGAGUGGAAUUCCUGGUGUAGCGGUGAAAUGCGCAGAUAUCAGGAGGAACACCAUGGCGAAGGCAGCUCGCUGGGACGUGACUGACGCUGAGACGCGAAAGCGUGGGGAGCAAACAGG
rnacentral:rRNA from 1 species